UACGGGGGGGUAAGCGUUGUUCGGAAUUACUGGGCGUAAAGGGCGUCGUAGGCGGCCAACUAAGUCAGACGUGAAAUCCCUCAGCUUAACUGGGAACUGCGUCUGAUACUGGAUGGCUUGGAUUGGGAGAGGGAUGCGGAAUUCCAGGUGUAGCGGUGAAAUGACGUAGAUAUCUGGAGGAACACCGGUGGCGAAGGCGGCAUCCUGGACCAAUAUUGACGCUGAGGUGCGAAAGCGUGGGGAGCAAACAGG
rnacentral:rRNA from 1 species